AGUCCUAACUAUAUGAUUUAUUU
rnacentral:snRNA from 1 species